UUUAUGCAGUUCUUUUAAAAAUAUUGUUUGCUGUAUUUCAUUUAAUUUUACAUCAAUAACUUUAUCCAUAUACAUAUCUUAUAUCUAUAGUAGCAAAAGCAGCUUUUGUAAAAUCCCUUAUCUGCAUCCAACUAACGAACUGUAAAUCAAAAAAUUCAACACAGUAACACACUCAAAUCCUGUAGUAUUAGUCUCAACCACUUAGAUCACAUAGGCAUAAUCCAAGGCGUCCAGGUCAGGUCAUGCACCAGAAAGAGAAGACCCUGG
rnacentral:misc_RNA from 1 species